rnacentral:lncRNA from 1 species
AAGCUCCACCAACUUGCUUAAUUAAUUUACUUUUGAAUUUUAAAGUUUACUCAGAACUUCUAUUUUUUUGGUCUAUGUUCCUGUUCAGUUUGCCAGUUCAUAGAGUUACUGGAUUGUCUUCCUCAUGUAAACAGUGAAAGUGAUACUGUCCCCUUUAAUCCACCCGAAUCACAGGAAUUAAAUCUUCAGACUGCAGUGAUGACCCUAAAUUAGGUGAUAGAUUUUGUUAAGUGAUCCCGCAGAACAGCUCUGCAGAGAAAUGAUUGAGAAGUUAAUCUGUUCCGCUGAGAUGAGAAGUGUAUCUUUGUCCUUGGGAAGCUGCAGUCUGUCCAGGCAGUGACCUUCUUGGAGCCGUACCAUUUCUCAGUACAUAGGAUGCCAAUACCUGGGAAGAGCAGAAGAAUCCAAUUGCUCAGUUGGUUUCAUUCACAAACUAGGAAGUAUGCAAGUCUUGAAGAAGAAAAACCUUGAGAUUCUACAGGAGUGAGCAAUGUACGUAGAAACUGCUGAUGACAAAGAGUAAAAGAAAUAUCAUUUAUAGAAUAUUACAGAAUAGGAAUGUUUGCUGUUAUCAUUUGCUGUAAUCAAACAGCAAUCAAAUUAUUAUGAAGCAGUUUGUCGCCUUUACUUGCAACGUUAACUUUUUACUGGUUCAUAAACUUUUUACACUCAAGGAAAUUAAUUUAGGUGUGAUCUUCAGACUGUGCUUUAAAAGGCCAUUGGAACAUCCAUUUCUCUUUAAUACAUGCUAUAUGGGAUAAUAUGCUCCCCAUAUGCAGUUUACUACACGGCUGUAUUUUUUCUGUUGACUUCAUUUUUCGCAAUUGAACGUUUUUUUUUCAGAAUACAUCUUUUGUAUUAUAAUAUCAUUAAGUCGAUAUGCUGCAUUUUAAAUCCAGUUUGUGAGUGCAUUUGGUCAGGUUCUGAAUUGGUGCAAAUCAGUGUACAGCUCCUGACUUGAGUGGCAUUUCAUUGGUUUGUGCCGGCUGAAAAUCACUAAUGCUUCAGCAUUAAAGAUUCUGUUAACUUUCUCAGAAGAAGGCAAUACAUUACGACCACACGAAUGUAUUUCUAAGACAGUUAUUUGUCUGUAAUUAAAGUGGCAAAUUUUAAUCUACUGAGUAUUUCA